rnacentral:rRNA from 1 species
GACGAACGCUGGCGGCGUGCCUAAUACAUGCAAGUCGAACGAGUGGCGGACUGGUGAGUAAUGUCUGGGAAACUGCCUGAUGGAGGGGGAUAACUACUGGAAACGGUAGCUAAUACCGCAUACCAUCAGAUGUGCCCCGCUGGGAUUAGCUUGUUGGUGGGGUAACGGGUCACCAAGGCGACGAUCCCUAGCUGGUCUGAGAGGAUGACCAGCAAUACUGGAACUGAGACACGGUCCAGACUCCUACGGGAGGCAGCAGUGGGGAAUAGUGCACAAUGGGCGCAAGCCUGAUGCAGCCAUGCCGCGUGUAUGAAGAAGGCCUGCGGGUUGUAAAGUACUUUCAGCUGGGAGGCGUUACCCGCAGAAGAAGCACCGGCUAACGACGUGCCAGCAGCCGCGGUAAUAC